rnacentral:rRNA from 1 species
GAUGGAUAGGGGGUUUGGAGAGGAAGGUCCCCCACAUUGGAAUUGAGACACGGUCCAAACUCCUACGGGAGGCAACAGUGAGGAAUAUUGGUCAAUGGGGCGAGAGCCUGAACCAGCCAAGUAGCGGGAAGGAUGAAGGUCCUACGGAUUGUAAACUUCUUUUAUAAGGGAAUAAAACGCUCCACGUGUGGAGCCUUGUAUGUACCUUAUGAAUAAGCAUCGGCUAACUCCGUGCCAGCAGCCGCGGUAAUACGGAGGAUGCGAGCGUUAUCCGGAUUUAUUGGGUUUAAAGGGAGCGCAGACGGGAUGUUAAGUCAGCUGUGAAAGUUUGCGGCUCAACCGUAAAAUUGCAGUUGAUACUGGCGUUCUUGAGUGCAGUUGAGGUGUGCGGAAUUCGUGGUGUAGCGGUGAAAUGCUUAGAUAUCACGAAGAACUCCGAUUG